AGCCAAAACACUGUUUCAAAACUUAAAAGAAAAAGGGAAUGAAAACCACACAUUGUUUGAUGCCACACGAGGACACAACUACUUAAUAAUACUUUUUGUGGUAGCAGGCAAUAUUAAUCUAGUUGUAGGCGUCCUUGUGCUCCAAGAGGUAGUUCUCAAUCAAUUUGAAGAGGUGGGAGGCCUUCUCUUUGCCAGCCUUAACAUGCUCUUCCUUGAUCUCAACGUCACCCUUCGUGUGGUAGUGGCUGGUGCUCUUAAUGACGGAACCGCUGCCGGAAGCCACCAACUUAGUCUCAUAAGAGAUCUUCUCAAUUGUCUCAGAGAUAGCAUCUCCUUCAAUCACACUGUACUUGUAGACAAAGUUUUCCUUGUCAACCCCAUCAAUUCUGUGCUUCACGUAGCUGUAUGUGCUACCUUCACCAAAGUUGAUCUUCUUAAUAGUUCCAACUCCACCAUCUCCUUCAAGGAUCUCAGCGCUCUUCACUGCUUGUGGUGCAAUCUUUGGGAUGAGGUUGUCAGCAUCAAGAACAAAGGCAUUGAACAACCUAGCAGGGGGAAUGACGGAGGUGAACUCAGAUUCGUAUAUGAAAACACCCAUGAUUCUAAGAUGCGUUUGGGAAGUGAGGAAAAACUAAUUGAUAAAGAGGAAGACCGAGGAAGAAAGAUGAUGUAUUGGGAGGUUUUGAGGUGUGAAUAGCUGAAGAGGAGGUAUGGUAUUUAUAGGCCGAGGCUGCCUGAAGGUGGAUGAAUAGGUUUAUGCCAUUUCCUUAUUUUUUAAAUUGGUUCAUUGUGACGUGGGAACCAUUACUUUUCUACAUGGAAUUAAUGUUUGUAUUUUAGUCAAGAGAAGAACCAUCUGCUAAUUGAAUAAAAAAAAUAUAGCCAUUUAAUCCACGAGCUUAAUUAUUUCUAUCCCACUGUUUUAUAUUGAAGUUAUAAUUUUGCAUUUGCAUGCAAUGAGUGCUUCAGAGAUGACCACAUUCUCUGACAUUGUAGCUACUUUUACACUUUCUGUGAAAACCAGAGCAUAGAAAUUGGAAUUCAUUUUAGUAAUCAAGGUUCUAAAAAACGUUAGGCGCUAGUUGGGCGGCGGGUUAGCGCUUAGCGCCUAGGCAGCUAGGCAGGGUUUAGGCGGGUGCCUAGACGGCCUAGGUGGAUUUAGGUAAAUUUCAUGUAUAUCUUGUAAAUAAGUGCUUAUUAACACUUACAAAAAAUUAUACUUGUAUGAAAUCCAUGGAUAAGAUAAUAAAAGAAUGAUAAAAUGCAAAAAGAGUAUCCAACAAGUCCAAAAUUUAAAAACAUAUUAAGCAUAUAUGCCAUAUAAUCAUAGUGAGGAGUAUUGUAAGAUGACACAUGUACAAUAAGUUCACAAUUUAAAACCACAUAAAAUGCAAAAUAGGAGGAAAAUAAGGAAAUAUAGUAAUGUAGAUAGGAUUUUUUUUAUUUUUUAAUUUAAAAAAAUAAAUAAAUAAAAAACCGCCUAGCACCGCCUAGUGCCUAUCCCGCCUAGGGCCGCCUAGAGCCUAACCGAUUUUUCCAAUCAAUUUGCAAAAAAAUACCUCGAGUCACAACCGCCUAGGCCAUUUUUUAGAACAUCGUCAGUAAUUGAUUAAGCUUAUUCCUUUACUAUCUUUUUCAGUCCAAAACUGAUACUUGGGUCUCAAUCAACAAUGACUGCCAUGGGCUAUGAAUUCAAUAAUUCUGAUAAAGUGAACACUUCACAUUCUCUUCCAUUCCAGUUAGCCAUUCUGAUGGUAGAAAUUUCAAUUAAUCUGCCGACCAUCUCACCUUAAUUGAGGCAGGGCUAGCUUAUCCUCUAAUCAUUUCAUAUCGUAUAACAAAAAAUAUCAGACGAGACUACAAAAUAACUUCGUUCUUUGUUGGGUAUUGAGAUUUGAAACCAAGUUGGGCCGUUUUGUUGUCUCCUAUAUUUGUCUAAUUUUGUAUUCACGAUCAACAUGGUCAUUGGCUGUGUAGUUAAUAAUUACGAGGUGAAUUUGGACUUGUUAUAAUUGAACGUUUUGAUAUUGCCCCCAUACAAAAUGAUGGGCAAUCAAUGUUGACCCAAUGCAGCCAUAUGUUGAAAUACAAUUCAAGUAGCCUAAUUUGAACUUCUGGAAGUGCAUACUAGUUGUAAUGUGGUAGGGACAACAAUAUAUGAAGCAGACAGCAAUUUUGUAAAACAAAGGUUUCAUCAAUUGGGCAUUAGACACCAAUUCAUUUUGAAUAAUACUUGGGUACUCACCUUUUAAUUUUGUCCAAUGAUAUUUUGAAAUAUUGUAUUAUUUUUGAUAAAUAAUGGACAUGUUAUUUAAUUUUUUUUUUUGGGCUUUGGAAAAAAGGAACACGUGACAUUUUUUUUUAUUAACCAAGUCAGAAAGUGAGUACAUCAAUACUUACUAGUGAGUAUCUAAGUAUUAUGCAUUCAUUCCAUCCCCAUCAGUGUACUAAUUAACCUCAGUAAAUUACAUUCAUACUGUUUCAUAAAAGCUUUAGUUGCAAGGACUCUUAACAAAACUUUUCCCUACUCUAGCGAGAAUUCAAAUAUUUGGCAAGAAAGCAUUUCCUCACUGUAGAUAGACUCUUAUCGUCGUAAUCUAUUUUACUAACUAUACCGAGUAAAAGUUUUAGAGUUUAACAAAAUGGAGACUUUGAGCAAGAGUUUUUUUUCUCGCUAAACGACUUUUUUGUUGUAGUAAAUGUACAAUUGGAUCCACAUACACUAAGAAUUAACAAUUCAUCAUGUGCGUGCAAGUAGAAGACAAUGCAUAAUUAACACUUUUCCAAAAGUGUUAGUUACACUCAAUAUUCUUGUGGUAGAUGUGUAGGAGUUUAGGUUAAUUGUUGGUUGUGCAAAUUUCCCCUCAAGAACAAGAAUUUGGUCACGGAAGAUGAAAUGAAGCCAGAUUUAGUUAGGUUAGUAUCAUUGUCUUUGUUAAUAGAUUUGGAGUGUUAGGUCUUUGUCACAUAAUUGCAUUGUUUUCCCCUUUAGAUUUUUAAAUUUGACGUGAUUUAUAGAUAUGAAGAGAUUCUUGCACUACAAAAAACCGCAGUAUUUGUCGGAUCAAAUACGAUUUUGUCACCUAUAAGUUUGCUCGACAAAAUUAUGUGAGCCAAAGUUCGUCGCGCAAAACCCGUUGCUCAAAUAUUGCCUGACGAAAUAUAAGCAUUUGUCAAGAGAACAUUGUUGACUCGACUAAAUAAAGUCGUCCGGUAAAAGAGCAUUGACCGACCUGGUCCGACAAACAUAGCUUGCUCGACAACAAAGUUUUGUCGAGUUUCUAGAAAUAAAAUAAUGAAAAUUUUAGCCCGACAAAAUAUUAGUCGGGCAAUUGUUUUAAAGAAAAAAAAAUACAAUAAAAGUUUGCUUGACGAAUAUCUUCGUUGGGCAAAGCUUUUAUAUAUAUAUAUUUAAAUUUGAAAUUAAAAUAAUGUAUUAAUUCUAAUUAUAUUAGUCUAAAAGGCUAAAAUAAAUCACAACUUUAAAGAAAUUUAUUUAAUUACAUUAAAAAAAUAUUCGUACAAUUGUAUGUAACAAAAAAAUUAAGUGCAACUACUGGAGUUACCGCUGAGGUGGCUAGUGGAAUGGCGCCUGAAGAUCGCUCGGAGGAUUGGGAAUGCGAAUGCCAGAAGCUAACAUUGCUUGCGCUAUCCCAACAAUGUACCAAAAGGCCCUCCUCUCACUGACGCACGGUUUCUUGCUCGCGCAGAGCUUCUUCUCGACGGCUCGCUAGCUCCAUCUCCAACUGCUGCAGUUUGGAAGACAUCUUGCUUGGAGGAUGAGACCUAGAUGAAGAAGAAGUUUCCUCAAGAUCCCGAACUUGACCGGUUCCUAGGCCACCGAAUUCUUUGCAUUUCAGUUGGCCAACCACGUCCAUUAGCAAUUGUAGAGACACCUCUCGAUCAGGUGUCAUCUCCUCCAUUGGUGUGUCCGAUUUCUGCUGGGAGAGGUUGGCUAGGUACUUAUCCUUAUUCUGCGACGUAGAAGCCUACAAAAAAAUAAAAAAUAAAAAUCAGUUACCUAUCCUAAAAGUUUAUUUUGAUGAUUUUUAGCUUAUACGAUCUCAGAGUAUAUAUAAAUAAGUUUGAAGGUUGGAUCGUUGAAACUAGUUUCAUAGAAUGUGUAUCCCGUCAAAACAAUUGAUUCAACAAACACUUAAAGUUUAUUUUAUACUUUCAUUGAGUAGAAAGGAAGAUUUUGUGGCGUACACUAGUGUAUAUAUUUUAACUUGAUCAUCGAGUUCAUUCAUUGUCUUCUUCUAGUGUAAAAAAUCAUCAAAAGUAGAGCUAAAAUAACUGUCAAAUCGUGAUUUUUCGUUUGUAACCGUAGAAUGACAUCUCCACAGAUAUGUAUCCUUUUCUAAUUUUUUUCUGCAAUCGAAUAAUCUGAUACGGUGAUUGGUGUAUUUCGUAUGAGGGAGUGAUAGAUUUAUAACCAUUUUAACUUUUGAUUCAAUUUUGUAUUCCUCUAUUUAAUACAAAUUCUAGAGAAUAUCCAAACAAUGAAAUUUGGAAUUCCCGUCAUUUUGUAAUUUCUAUGUAUCCAACAUCCAAACGAUGAAAUUCAUUUAACGGGAAUUUAAUUACUGUCAAUUGUAAUUCCUGUCAUUUAAAAUUAUGUGAUAAUUUAGAAAUUCUCCAUCCAAACAUAGUGUAAAAGUUUGUUUUUUGUGCUUUUGACGCAUCCGAUCUCGCAGUAUAUAUGUAACAUCUCACAUCGCCCAGGGGAGUGAUCCUUAAAUGUAUAUUCCCAUCCCUACCUAGCACGAGGCCUUUUGGGAACUCACUGGCUUCGGGUUCUGUAGGAACUUCGAAGUUAAGCGAGAAGGAGGCCAGGUCACUCCCAGGAUGGGUGACCCACUGGGAAGUUGCUCGUGAGUUCCCAAAAACAAAACCGUGAGGGAAUGGUAAGCCCAAAGAGGACAAUAUCGUGUUACGGUGGUGGAGCGGGCCCGGGAAGUGGUCCGCCCCGGGCCGGGAUGUGACAAUAUAUAAAUAAGUUUGACGGUUGGAUCAUUGAAACUACUUUUGCAGAACGUGUAUCCUGUCAAAACAAUAGAUUCGACAAACAAUAAAGAGUUUAUUAUAUUUCCAUUAAGUAGAAUGGAAGAUUUUGUGGUGUCCACUAUAGUUCAAAUUGAUGAUCGGGUUCAUUUAUUGUAUUCUUCUAGGGUCAAAGAGUGUAGUUGUAAAAAAAAUAUCAAAAUCGAAGCUAAAAUGACCAUUAAAUCUUGAUUUUUAGUUUGUAACUGUAGGAAAUUUUGGUCUCGUUACCUAUUCUCUCUGAAAGUUUGUUUUUGGUAUUUUUGGUGUAUGCGAUAUUGGAGUAUAUACAAAUAAGUUUGACAUUUGGAUUGUUGAAACUAGUAUCGUAGAAUGUUUAUCUUGUCAAAACAAUAGAUUCAACAAACAAUUAGAGUUUAUUCUAUAUACUUCCACUAAGUAGAACGUAAGUUUUUGUGGUAUCCAUUACUGUAAGUAUUUUAAAUUGAUGGUCGGGGUUCAUUGUAUUCUUCUAGGGUUGAGGAGUGUAGUUGUAAAAAGUCAUCAAAAUCGGAGCUAAAAGAACCGUUAAAUUGUGAUUUUUUGUUUGUAACCGUCGAAGGAUUUCGUUCCAUUACCUAACCUUUUUGUUUUUGGUGUUGCAUUAUUGGAGUAUAUACAAACAAGUCUGAUAGUUGGAUUGUUGAAAUUAAUUUUGCAGACUGCGAAAAUUAUCGAAGGAAUUAAAUAUGCCAAUCAUGUCUCUCACCUUUGCCCAAUGAAAUAUUAUAUUUGGCGCGAAAGUUUACCCGAUGACUAAAGUUUUGCCCAUCGAACUCUAUUCAUCGGGCAAAAUUCUCUAAAAAAAAUAAAAAAGUUGACCCUUUUUGCCCGACUACGUUUGUAUUCCGUCAGGGGCAUAUGCUUAUGUGUAAUCACGUUUAUUUAAUCAGAUUGUUUUUUUGUAUGCACCCGAAGUUGAAUUUCAUUCUAUCUAUUUUAAAAGAAACACCAUAUUUCAUUAAUGAUAGGAGCAAAUACAUGAUUCAUAAUAUAUAGAUGAAGAACAUGACCCAAAUUGGAGGAUACUUGCAAACAAACAUCUGAAAUACAAAAGAAUAAUUAAAGAUGUUGCAAGACAACGCUAAAACAACGCUAAAAGAGACGGAGGAUCCAUAUAAACGAUGCAUCUAGUAUGAGAUCAUGAAAGAGACGAACACUCUCAAAACAAUUGCGCGAUACAAAACGUUAUGCUUCUAUAUGAAAACGUCGCGGCUCCUUGCUAAUAGUAUCUUUAAUGCUCCUUUAGUAAUUAAAAGUAAACUCGUGUAGUUAGAAAAUAUAGAAGCAUAACGUUUUGUAUCAUAUAAUUUACCUAACAUAAUUUCUCCAACUCGUGUAGUUAAAAAAUAUGAUACUUUAAAUUAAAAAUAACGUUAGAGAAAUUAUAUUUUUAGAUCACAAUUACGAGGUAUUUUAUGUGUCAGUUGAUGCGGCGUGUCAUGUCAUGAUAAAGGGAAACUUGCACACAUAUAUAUAUAUAUUAUUCAAAUCCAUUAUUUUCUUUUUAUUUGUUUUAUAUGAAAAGACAUACAAUAUCACUUUUCCAUGAAAAGCUUUAAUGACAAGCCAAAACACUGUUUCAAAAGUUUAAAAAACAUAAAAGGAAAUAAAAACCAUUGUUUGUUGACAAAAGUUUUGAUGCCAUAUAAUUUAGUUGUAGGCGUCCUGGUGCUCCAAGAGGUAGUUCUCAAUCAACUUGAAGAGGUGGGAGGCCUUUUCUUUGCCAGCCUUAACAUGCUCUUCCUUGAUCUCAACGUCACCCUUGGUGUGGUAGUGGCUGGUGCUCUUAAUGACGGAACCGCUGCCGGAAGCCACUAACUUAGUCUCAUAAGAGAUCUUCUCAAUUGUCUCAGAGAUAGCAUCUCCUUCAAUCACACUGUACUUGUAGACAAAGUUUUCCUUGUCAACCCCAUCAAUUCUGUGCUUCACAUAGCUGUAUGUGCUACCUUCACCAAAGUUGAUCUUCUUAAUGGUUCCAACGCCGCCAUCUCCUUCAAGGAUCUCAGCGCUCUUCACUGCUUGUGGUGCAAUCUUGGGGAUGAGGUUGUCAGCAUCAAGAACAAAGGCAUUGAACAACCUAGCAGGGGGGAUGACGGAGGUGAAUUCGGAUUCGUAUGUGAAGACACCCAUGAUUCUGAGAUGCGUUUGGGAGGUGAGGAAAAACUAAUUGAUAAAGAGGAAGACUGAGGAAGAAAGAUGAUGUAUUGGGAGGUUUUGAGGUGUGAAUAGCUGAAGAGGAGGUAUGGUAUUUAUAGGCCGAGGGUGCCUGAAUGUGGAUGAAUAGGUUUAUGCCAUUUCCUUAUUGUUUAAUUGGUUCUAUUCAUUGUGACGUGGGAACCAUUACUUUUAUACUUGGAAUGUUUGUAUUUUAGUCAAGAGAAGAACCAUCUGCUAAUUGAGUAAAAAAAAUAAAAUUAUAGCCAUUUAAUCCACGAGCUCAAUUAUUUCUAUCCCACUGUUUUAUAUAUAGAAGUUAAAAUUUUGCAUUUGCAUGCAAUGAGUGCUUUAGAGAUGACCACAUUCUCUGACACUUAGCAACUUUUACACUUUCUGUGAGAACCAGAGCAUUGAAUUGGAAUUCCUUUUCAGUAAUUGAUUGAGCUUAUUCCUUUCUAUAUUUUUUUAGUCCAAAACUGAUACCUGUGUCUCAAUCAACAAUGACUGCCAUGGCUAUGAAUUCAAUAAUUCUGAUAAAGUGAUCAGACGAGACUACAAAAAUAACAACUUUGUUCUUUGUCGGGUAUUGAGAUUUGAAACCAAAUUGGGCCGUUUUGUUGUCUCCUAUAUUUAUCUAAUUUUGUAUAUUCACAAUCAACAUGGUCAUUGGCUGUGUACAUAAAAUAGUUAAUAGAUACGAGGACUGUAUAUUAGGACUUUGUUAUAAUUGAACAUUUUGAAUCUUGCCUUUUCCGUUUGAAGAUGUAGAAACCCCACUUAAAAUGAUGGGCAAUCAAUGUUGACUCAAUGCAGCCAUAUGUUGGAGAAAUACAAGUCAAGUACCCUAAUUUGAACUUCUGGAACUGCAUACUAGUUGUGAUGUAGUGGGGACAACAAUAUUAUGAAGCAAACAGCAAUUUGUAAAACAAGGUUUCACCAAUUGGGCAUUAGACACCAAUUCAUUUCGGAUAAUAUUUGGGUACUCACCUUUUAAUUUUGUUCAAUGAUAUUUUAAAAAAUGUUAUUUAAUUUUUCUUGGGCUUUUAAAAAAUGAACAUGUGACAUUUUUUUAUUGAACCAAAUCAAAAAGUGAGUACAUCAAUACUCACUAGUGAGUACCUAAGUAUUAGUCAUUCAUUUCAUCCCCAUCAGUGUACUAAUUAACCUCAGUAAAUUAAAUUCAUACGGUUUCAUAAAAGUUUUAGUUGCGAGGACCCUCGACAGUCUAUAUAUGAGAUCACUACAACAAACAAAAUGGUCUGUUAUUGAGGAAAUCUUUUGGAGGAAACCUAGUUUUCUCGCUAUAGAACACUUUUUACAAGGAUAUUAUUUCGUCUUCGCAAAAACUGACCCAAUUUUGAUUACAAGUCCUGUCCUUACACUAGCGAGAAAUUUAAAUAUUUUGCAAGAAAACGUUUCCUCACUGUCGACGGACUCUUAGCUUGGUAAUCUACACUUACUCACUAUAGCGAGUAAAAGUUUUAGGGUUUAACAAAAUGGAGACUUUGAGCAAGGAAUAUUUUUUUUUCUCACUAAACAACGUUUUUGUUGUAGUGGAUGUACAAUUGGAUCCACAUACAUCAACAAUUAACAAUUCAUCAUACUUUUGGACGGGUUUAUUAAGAGGGUGUCUGCCGUAUAAAAUAAGUGGAUCUGAUUAAAUUAGUCCGGUCCAAUUUGAUAUGAGAGGGUGCCAAACACCCGGCUCCAUAUUAGUAGUCCUAUAUGGUGCUAUAUACAAUGUACCAAGCGAUGCCUUAGUGAUUGAUAUAUGUCUUGAUAAAUGAUAUAUAUCAUCUAUUUGCUAAAGUAUCUUUAAUGCUCCUUUUGUAAUUUAUAUAUGUCUUGACAAAUGAAUGUAUAUAUCAUCUAUUAUCUGAAUAAUAGACGAUACAUACAUUCAUUUAUCACACUAUAUAAAAAAAAAUUGGUAAUUGUCAAAUUAUAUAAUGGUUAGGCCAACUCGUGUAGUUAGAAAAUACUGAAAAUAUGACUUUAACCCUUAAAAUUUAAUUUUCAUUACAUAAAACCCGACAUAAUUUUUUUAUUUGAUUAAAACCCAUUGACUAAGCUCCACACAAGCAAAUUCAUUAACUAUGUUUGACUUCACCAUUGUACAUUUUUUGAAUGCCUAAUAUACCCUUAAUUACAUUUUUGACCUAUACAAUUAAUUGUAUACAGAUUAAAAGGUGAAUGAAUGAUUCUUGAAAAGAGAAAUAAGCAUUAAUAUUCAUACUAUGAUUCGAUCACAAUAUAUAUGAUGUAAUUUAACAAAUAUGUGGGGAAUCAGUAAAUGUGAAAAACUAAAAAAUUUCUCUCUGGGGAAACACUAGGGUUUCACUAGGAGAGCAACGAUUUAUUGAAUUACGACGCCGUCAUUGAGGUAAUCGUGGUGGCAAGGGGCCGUGUCAUUGUAGGGUGUGGCAGUGACUGAUCCGACGACUUAGGUGUGAAUGAUUAUUAGUUUGGCGCGUCUCGUUGGGGGAAAACUUUGGCAGUUAUCUCGAACAUGUGUGCUUGUGGUGGUAAGGCAUAUGGAUGAGAUGAUUUCGAAGUUCGCUGAAAGAUUUGUUCUCACUACGGAGGAACAAAAAGUGGUGGUGAUUGAUGAUAAGGAGGGUGCGCUCCUUAGGAAUAUGAAGGUUUUCCUUGUGGGGAGAGUGCUUACUAGUAAGACAUUCAACAAAGAAAGAUUUAAAAGGCAGAUGUUAAAUCUCUGGUGCCCGAAGGCGAAGGUUAUGAUAGUGGAGUUGGAGGAAGGUUUGUUCUCUUUUGGUUUUGAUAAUAGCCGUGAGAGGGCUAUGAUUAAAAAAAGGGGGCCUUAGCUGUACGACGACGUUCUAGUGGUGUUGGUAGAGGCAAAUGUGUUGGUAAACCCGGUGUCUAAUCCGUUGACCUCCCAAGAAUUUUGGAUCCAAGUAAAGGGUUUGCCUCUUCCUUACAUGACCCGUCAUAUGGGUCAAUUCAUUGGGAAUCAGAUAGGUCACCAUGUAUUGACUUAUCAAAGCAUGAUGAGUGAUAUGUUUGGUAGUUGGUAGUAUACUGCGUAUCCGGGUUGCUGUUGAUAUCCAGAAACCACUACCGAGAGGUUUGAGGCUUGUCAUUGAGGGAUCUGAGGUGGGAAUUGAUUUACGCUAUGAGAAGAUUCCUAUCACCUGUUUUCUAUGCGGCAUUGUAGGGCACUUAGAAGAGCACUGCAUGCACUUCAAGGGGCAGAAUGAUGAUGAUAUGUCGAAGCUGUAUGGUCGCUGGUUUCAGUUUGAUGUGUUAGGUGCGGAUUAUAGAAAGCCAAAAGGCACGCGUUUUGGGUUGGAUGAAGUACAGGGGUGGUCCAUGAAGGUUCCAGUGUUUGUGGAUGAGGUGAUGAAGGAGGAGGGGAGUAACGUUAAUGACCACAUGUUGGGCAGUGUGGUAGUAUAAGAGGGACGACAGACUAGGGUUUCUCUCAAUGGAGCAUAUGUUAUACCUGAUUUGAAUGACAUGAGAGAGUCAGAGGAGUUGCCAGUGGAGUAGAUGGCCAUCAUCCCUUUCCAUCCGUAAAUGUUUCAACAUGAUACAUGUGGAGCUAUGGUGUUUGGUGUGGAUCUCAAUGUGGCGCCACCUAGUGAUGCUGAGUCUCUCCAAGUUUUAGGUUUUGAUGACUCUGGAGGUGGAAGAUGAGGGAUGGGGAUGGGUUUAAAGGAUGUGGGUUUCUUUGAACCCCGUGGUAAUGAGGUAGUGGAGUGGGACCUGCAAUUUUGGGGGGACGGGGGAUGAGCAUGGUAGUAGUCUUGGGCUGAAUGUGGGUGGUAGUGGGUCCCGAACGGGGUGGAACAAGCAGAUAGUCAGGAAGGACCAUGUUAGUAACCCAGAGUUGUCUCAACAUGUGGGGGAAGAGAUACAGAAGGCGAACUCGCUGCAGGGAACGUUGGGUCCAAUGUUUAAUGGGAUAAAGUGGCCUAGUUUGGGGCUGGACCCUUUCAACCUAAUGCCUAUUAUUAAGCACAAUCAGAGGGCUCGAAAAAAAGAAGCAAUAUCGACGUAAGAGACAGGGUGGGUUUCCCUUGGGUAAUGUGCAGUCAGGGAUUCCAACACAGAAGUUUUUUCUCCCUACUUGAGCUAGGGAAGAGGCAGGUCUGUGAGGAGUUGGGUGUCAAAGCACGAUAUGGAGGACGUAGAAGGUUGUUGGAAACAGAAGAGGUUAUUAGUUCAUCGGCGGAGGUUGAUGUGGUUCAACCCCACCGUCAUCAAUGAGUUGCUUAAGUUGGAACUGCCGGGGGCUUGGGAACCUUCGUGCAGUUCAUGCUCUCCAACGUUUAAUUUAUGUCCAAGAUCCCACUGUAGUGUUCUUGUGUGAGAUAAAGAGUAAUGCUCGUCACAUAGACCAUUUAUGUUUAAAGUUGAAUUUUGAUCGUAGUUUUACUGUUGACAAUAGAGGUAAAUCUGGUGGUUUAUGUGUUUUGUGGAAGGAUGAAAUAAAUUUGUCUUUGAGAUCUUAUUCUUUGAAUCAUAUUGAUUUCGAUGUGGGUGACCCUAAGGAGGUGUCUUAUUGGCGUCUAACCAUUUUUUAUGGAUAUCCUGCUGUGUCUGAUCGAUAUAAGUCUUGGAGGCUUCUUUACUCUCUGUAGCCACGAGUAAAGGCCUUGGUUGUGUCUCGGUGAUUUUAAUGAGACUCUCCAAGCUCACGAGCAGGAAGGAGGCAAUGUAAGGCUAGACAGGCAAAUGGAAGGGUUCAUCUCAGUGGUGGAAUCUUGUAAUUUCAUUGAUCUCAGUUACUCGGGGAAUAAAUUUACUUGGUUUACAACAAAAGGGGGAGGAAUUAAAGUAAGAUUGGAUGAUGCCUUGGGUAAUCAGAAAUGGGUUGACUUGUUUCCGCGGUUCUCAGUUAAGCAUUUGAGCAAGUCUACGUCGGAUCAUGUUCCAGUGCAGGUUUAUUGGACGGGGCGAGUUCUAGAUCGUGGCAAGAAAUAGUUUAGGUAUGAAGAGUGUUGGAAUUUGCAAAAAGGAUGUUCAGAGGUGGUCCGUGAGGGUUGAGAAGGUGACGUUAAUGGGUCCCCCAUGUUUCAGGUCACUAAGAAGAUCAAGAUGACUCGAUUGAAGUUAAAUAAUUGGGUGAGAAGCUUUGCUAGGUCCGGACCUAUAAAGAUAAGAGAAGUUGAGGAUAAACUCACAAUUUUAUUGGGUCAUCCGUUUACAGAAGAGUCUAUUCUCUAAAAAAAAAAAAAGAGUUGGUUGGGAGGUUGAAUAGGCUACUUGAACAAGAGGAGCAAUUUUGGCGUCAACGGGCAAAAGAAAAUUGGGUUAAGCUUGGCGACUGCAAUACCAAAUAUUUUCAUUAGAAAGCAACUCGGAGGCAAAAGCGUAAUUUUUUGCAUGGCUUAAGGGAUGAUGCGGGGGUAUGGCAUGAAGACAGAGCUGGUAUAGAGGAAGUUGUAGUUUCUUAUUUUUCCAAGUUAUUUAUGUCUAAUGGGGUGCAUAACUUGGAAGACAUUUUAUGCCAUAUUGUUCCGUCGGUUACGGAGGAAAUGAAUGCUAAGCUUGAUCAUCCAUAUUCAGAUGAGGAGAUCAAAGCUGCUGUUUUUCAUAUGCAUCCUACGAAAGCUCCCGGUCCUGAUGGCAUGACUCCUAGGUUUUACCAAAAACAUUGGAGAGUCGUAGGUACUGAUGUGUGCAAUGGUGUUCGACAUUUGUUGAUGUCGGGACAAAUGUUACGUAAAAUUAACUACACGCAUGUCACCCUCAUUCCUAAAGUUAAAGAUGCCACGAUGAUGACACAACUUCGACCAGUCAGUCUCAGUAAUUUCAUUUACAAGAUUUUGGCGAAGAUGCUUACGAAUAGGUUAAAGACUAUCUUGCCACGGAUUAUUUCUCCUACUCAAAGUGCUUUUAUUCCGGGUAGGUUAAUUUUAGAUAAUUAUUUGGUGGCCACUGAGGUUGCCCACUACAUGCAUAAGCAUUUAUCGAGGUCCAAUGGGCUAAUGGCUCUAAAGCUUGAUAUUAGCAAGGCCUACGAUCGAGUGGAAUGGAGUUUUCUUGAAGCAUUGAUGUACCGAAUGGGGUUCUCUGAGCGGUGGAUCUGUUUGGUUAUGUUGUGUGUCACAACGGUGUCCUAUUCAUUUAAGGUGAAUGGGAAUUCGAUGGGCUAUGUGCAUCCGAAGUGCGGAAUUCGUCAGGGAGACCCUCUAUCUCCUUACUUGUUUGUUAUAUGUGCUGAGGGAUUAUCGGCGUUACUAAGGAAGGCGAAGUUUAAUGGGGAGCUGCAAGGUAUCAAAGUGUGUCGUAAGGCACCUAGUAUUCACCAUCUUUUCUUCGCGGAUGAUAGUUUUCUAUUUGCUCGUGGUAUCGUUGGUGAAUGCAGAUAUAUUAUAAAGUUAUUACGUUUGUAUGAGAUGGCAUCGAGACAAGCGGUGAAUUUUGAGAAGAGCUGUGUUUCCUUUAGUCCGAAUCUCACUACCUUUGAUAAGCAAUUAUUAGCCAAUUGUCUGGGUAUGAAGAAGGUGGAGUUCCAUGAUAAAUAUCUGGGGUUGCCGGUGCUUAUUCAGAAAUCGAAGAAGGAAACUUUUGCGUACGUAAAUGAUAGAGUGUGGAAGAAAUUACAAAGUUGCCGGGGGGGGGGCUUAUUGAGUAGUGCGAGGGCGAGAGUUAUUAAUCAAAACGGUGGCUCAGGCCCUGCCUAUGUAUUCUAUGCAAUGUUUUCUUCUUCCUAAAUCUUUAUGUGAGAAGCUGAAUAGGAUGAUAGCUAAGUUUUGGUGGAGCGGUGAUCCGGGUAAGCGAAAAAUACAUUGGCUUAAUUGGCGUAUUCUGUGUAAGCCUAAGCACGAGAGGGGACUUGGCUUCAGAGAUCUUUAUGCUUUUAAUUUGGCGAUAUUGGCUAAGCAAGCAUGGCAAUUCUUACAGCAACCGAAUUCAUUCGUUUUCCAGAUUUUUAAAGCCAGGUACUUUCCUAGGUCAGGGUUUAUGGAAGCAUUAGUAACUCCUAAUAGUUCGUAUGUGUGAAGGAGUAAGCUUCAAGGCAAGUGAUUCACAAAGGCCACCGUUGGCAAGUGGGUAAUGGGCAGAGAAUUCAAAUUUGGAAAGACAAUUGGAUUCCUAGGGAUUCGUUUUUUCGUAUUUUAACUCCACCUCCGAGGGAUUAGGAUAUGGAGGCUAAAGUGGUUGAACUUCUUUGGGGGGGGGGGGUACUGCGGCAAUGGAAUGUCCCGCUGCUAAACAUUCUAUUCUCUCAUAAGGAAGUGGAGUUAAUUCGAAACACACGGUUGAGCGUACGAGAUGUUGAGGAUAGACGUAUAUGGAAUUUUGAACGCAAUGGGAAGUUCUCGGUUAGGAGUGCUUAUCAGGUGGCUCGGGGCAUUCUUGUUAAUACUGGUAGUGGUGCAGACGGAUCUUCAUCCACUUUGGGUGAAGUGGGGGAGAAAUAUUGGAAGAAAAUUUGGAAUGCGAGUGUACCGGGGAAGGUGAAUAUUUGUACUUGGCGUGCUUGUUUGGACUCUUUACCCACUCGUGAAUCUACAUAAAAGAAGAGUGAUAGAAGACAAGGUGUGCUUGGUCUGUGGGUUGCAAAUAGAGUCAACGGAGCAUAUUUUUAGAGAUUGUAGCAUGUCGAGAGCGGUGUGGUUUCAGAGUUUGGGGAUAAGGGUGGAUAGCGGAUGUGAGCGCAUGUCCUUUAUGCAGUAGAUGGUCACGAAUGCGCAACAACUCCCGGUUUUUGGUUUUAUGCUUUGGUUGAUGUUAGUAUGGGCCUUAUGGAAACACAGAAAUGAGGUGUUGUGGAAUAGGGCUCGAAUGCCACCACAUGCGAUAAUCUUAAGGACUGAGGGUUGGCUGUAUGAGUAUCAUAAAUGGCAUAAAACCCAGAAUAGGAAGUCGGUUAGGGAGGUUAAAAAAUGGAGGAAACCUGGGGUGAGAUGGUUAAAGUGUAAUUUUUAUGGGGCUUGGAGUAAAACUGAAUCUCGGGGGAGGGGGGGGAUAUGGUGUUGUGAUUAGAGAUCACACGGGUAGUUGUUUGGGGGCGGUGGUUGGGCCUGUUGUUGGGGCGGCUUCGACUUUGUACACGGAGUUGUUUGCAGCUUAUCAGGUAUUAGGGCUGCUCAAGAGUAGAUACCCGUCUGAUAUAAAGAUAAAUUUGGAAGGAGAUUAAUCUCUAGCGUUGGCUGUUAUGGCAGGGCUAGAAGAGGAUGUGUCCGUUUGGGGGCCUGUUAUUAAUGAUUUGAGAAGUCUUCUUAUGGAAUUGCUUUUUAUGGAGUGUGGACAUGUUCAGAGGGAAGCUAACUCAGUUGCGCAUCGUCUUGCUCGGAUGGGGCUCAAUUGUCUUCAGGAGGUGUUGUGGUUUGAGGUGCCCUCGGAUUUGAUUCAAUAUCUCUUAUUUGAGGAAGGAAUGUAAUCUUGUUUUCUAUUGUUCAUUUGAGGAUAGUUCUUUCGUUGUGCCGGACACUCUUUACCUUAGACCGGGUUGAAAUCCCCGAUAAGGUGUUUAUUGAGGCCCAUUUAGCACACUAUUCUCAGUUUGUACGAAUUCUGAUUUGUUUUAAUGAAUAUCAUACUUGUUUAAAAAAUAAAAAAAAUAAAAAAAUAAAUGUGCCUAAUAGUUGUGCUAAUAUAUGGAGAAUAAUUUACCUACAACAUAAAGAAAUGUUAUUUGCCUCAAAGUUAUUUUACAUAUAAAUAUAGGUAAAUUAUUUUACACACACAUAUAUAAUAAUAAUAUUUUACAUAUAAAUAUAGGCAAAUUAUUUUACACGCACAUAUAUAAUAAUAAUAAAAUGUGCCUUAUAUAUAUUACUACAUGUAAAAUAAUUUAUCUGCAACAUAUAGAAAUGUUAUUUUAUUCAAAGUUAAUUACCUAUAUUUUACAUAUAGAUAUAGGCAAGGUAUAAAAUAUCGAUGAUAUCGGAAAUAUCGGUAGUAAAAAAACACGGAAAUAUCGAGAUAUUAUCGAUAUCGAUAAAAAUUGAAUAAAAACCAUGGAAAUUGUAAGAAAAACUUGGAAAUUUUUAUUGAAACUUUGGAGAAUGUUUAUUUAGUCAAUUAUCUAUUAGUUUAUAAAAAAAAAUUAGAAGGAAAUGCAUUACAUGAUGGAUUUAACUUAUUUAAGUUGAUUAUACAGCGAGCUGGCAAACACUAUGAGUGUAGAAAAUAUGUAGUAAUUAAUGAAAAAAAGAUUAAACACACCAUAAUCAUUUAUAUAUAAUGAUUUACUACAAUAUUUUACACUUUAUACAUUGCAUGUGCAAAAGAAAUUGUCAAAGAUUCAUUGUCAUGUGCAAAUUUGUUUCUUGCAAAAAGAAUUCAAAACAAAACCAUAUAUAUAAAUAUUUUAGCACAUGUUCACAAAAACAUAAGUGAUAUGGUGGUUAAGGUGUUGAAGGAAUAAAGUGGGAGGGGUUCGAAUCCCCUUGGUGUUAUUUUAGCAUAUUUUCAUUUUCAUUGUCAUAUGCAAAUUUGGGUUUUAUCUCGCGAUAUAUAUCCCAAAUAAUGUAUUAAAAUCAUUAAAAAUAUCGUAUUUCGAUAUUAUCGCGAUAAUAUUGAUAUUUUAACGAUAUAUUAAUGGAUAGUGUAUAAAAUAUAGCGAUAUGAAAAAAUACAUGCAAAUUAAUUUACCUACAACAUUAAUUUACCUAUAUAUUACAUAUAAAUAUAGGUAAAUUAUGUUACACACCCUAAUAAUAAUGUGGCGAAUAUAUAUAUAUAUGUAAUGGUUUACCUACAAAAUAUAAAAAUAUUACUUUAUUUCAAAUACAUAUGAUUAUUAGUGGCUAAAAAACCGUUAGAAGGGUUAUGGCAUAUGUUGUAAAUUAUAUGAAGUAAAAGGUCAUUUAUUUUCUAUUGUGGCAACAUAUUUGAAUUUUGGGUUUAUAUUGGAUGUUUAAAGAUAUGUGGGUUUUAAUCUAAAAAUUACGAGUUGUAUGGGUCUAUAUCUAAAGAACCCUAUAAAAUAUGAUACUUUAAUUUAAGAGUAAUGUUAGAGAAAUUACAUUUUUAGAUCACAAUUACAAAACAUUGUAUGUGUCAGUUGAUACGGUGUCAUGUCAUGCCAUGGUGCAUGAUAAAGGGAAACUUGCACACAUAUAUAUAUUAUCCAAAUCUUAUUUUCUUUUUACUUAUUUUUAUAUAAAAAGACAUACAAUAUUCACUCUUCAAUGAAAAGCUCCAAUAACAAGCCAAAUUACAAGCCAAAACACUGUUUCAGAAGUUUAAAAAACAAAAAAGGAAAUGAAAACCGUUGUUUGUUGACAUAAGUUUUGAUGCCAUAUAAUUUAGUUGUAGGCGUCUUGGUGCUCCAAGAGGUAGUUCUCAAUCAACUUGAAGAGGUGGGAGGCCUUCUCUUUGCCAGCCUUAACAUGCUCUUCUUUGAUCUCAACAUCACCCUUGGUGUGGUAGUGGCUGGUGCUCUUGAUGACGGAACCGCUGCCAGAAGCGACCAACUUAGUCUCAUAAGAGAUCUUCUCAAUUGUCUCAGAGAUAGCAUCUCCUUCAAUCACACUGUACUUGUAGACAAAGUUGUCCUUGUCCACCCCGUCAAUUCUGUGCUUCACGUAGCUGUAUGUGCUACCUUCACCGAAGUUGAUCUUCUUAAUGGUUCCAACUCCACCAUCUCCUUCAAGGAUCUCAGCGCUCUUCACUGCCUGUGGUGCAAUUUUGGGGAUGAGGUUGUCAGCAUCAAGAACAAAUGCAUUGAACAACCUAGCAGGGGGGAUGACGGAGGUGAACUCGGAUUCAUAUGUGAAAACACCCAUGAUUCUGAGAAGUGAAUGGAAAGUGAGAAAAGAAUAACUAAUGAAGAGGAAGAUCUAAGAAAGAAAGAUGAUGUAUUGGGAGGUUUCUUGAGAUGUGAAGAAGUGAGGAGGAGGUAUGGUAUUUAUAGGCUCAGGCUGAAGGUGUGUGAAUCAAAAGGUUUAUGCAAGUUCCUAAUUGUUUAAUUGGUUCUAUUCAAUGUGACGUGGGAGCCAUUAUUUUUGUACAAGGGAUUUUGUAGUUUAGUCAAGGGAAGGACCAUAUGGAAAUUGAAUAAGGUACCCAAUUAAUCCACGAUGUGGACAAGUUAAAAUUUCCAUGUGCAUGCAAUGAGUACUUUAGAAAUGAUAUGAUUCUCUCACAUCAAGUAAACAAACUGACACCUUUUGUAAUUCUGUUUGAUAAUUUUUUCUAUAUAAUCAACGUUCCAAUUUUACUUGACCUAUAGAGGAAGAUUUAACUCGAACAUUUGUGUAUAUAGGCUUUCUUCCUUCUUCCUUUCCAGUCAAAUACCGAAAGACUAUAUGAUAUGAGCAAGUUGAUAGAAAUUUUGUCUGGUUAAACAAUAAUUUAGUUUAUCUGAGACAAUGUAUGGUGAUGUGGUAAUUCAGCGUUUAUCAAACACUAAUAAUAGCUGUUUUAUCUUGGAUUAAUUCACAUCCUUAAUUGUUAUAUAAUUCUAUAUCUUGAGCCAUUUCAAUUUGUAGAUGUGAUCAAAACCCAACCGAAAAUGAUGGGCAAACGACAUUGACCCAUUGCAGCCUAUUUUGAAAUGCAAGACAAGUGUAUAUCCUAAUUUGAACUUCUGGAAGCUGCAUACUAGUUGUGAAGUAGUAGGGACAACCAUAUUCUGAAACAAGUUGGUUUGGUCAAUUAGGGAUCACACACCGACCCAUUUGAUGUCCAGUUGUGUACUAGCUAAUUAACCUCGGUAUUAUUGUAAUUCAAAUUUCACCUACGAACAAUCCAUUUGAAUUGGAAAAACGGAAAAUCUAAGAGGAAGUGAUCAACUUCAUUCUUUUUCAGGUUGCCUUCCCUUGGUCCCCAGUAAUGAAAGGUGCACCAAAAAGAAAAGCCUAUACUGAAUGGUUAAAGAUUUCAAACCAAUUUUUUGUUACAUAUACAUAACACCUUUACAACAAUUUUACAGUUAAAGAUUUCAAACGUAGGGUUAGAUAAAAUGAUGUUAUUGAUAAUUGUAAGUUCUUAUAAAUGCAUACUAUAGAAUAUCAUACAUACUAUACAAAAAAGUGUUGAGAGUAUCAAUCUCACAUCAUGAAAAAUAGGACCUUGCAUGUGCUUAUAGUAAUUAGGCAAUUCCCCAUAUUUCCAAUUGUUUUUUUUUUUUGUGGAACCUCAAGUUUCUUCAUGGUACCAGAGCAAGUUGUCCCGCAUUUGAAGCUCAAUGGCCACAUGUGCUCCAUAUCUCCCCAUUUGUGCUGUCCAAGUUUAGGCUUGAAAAUGCGUUACACGUAAUGCGGGCGUGUUGAGCGUAUCAAUCCCACAUCAGAGAAAUGAAGGACUUUUGCAUGAGUUUAUAAGUAAUUUUGUCACGUCCCAUAUUGAAAAAAAAAAAAGUUUUGCUUUUGCUACUUUUCAGCUUCAAAUGACAUGUGACAUUGUAAAUAAGCAGACUUAUCAAACACAAAUUUUACUCGAACUUCUUUUCAUCCCGCUUAAAAUGACCCGUGACUUUGCAAAUAAGCAGACUUAUCAAACACAAAUUUUACUCAAACUUUUUUUUCAUCCCCACUUUUAAAAUAAUUUAAGUAGUACCAAACCUUACCUUAAUUUUUUUUUUAUGAUUUUUUUUUUAACAAACGAUAUUACCUACACUAUAGGAGUGGAGGAUUGAGCUAAGCCUAACAAUGGGCUAGCAAUAAUGUGGUAAAAAUUCGCUUUUGGCAAGAAUUGAACCUAAGACCUCUCACUUACGAGUGAGGGAAUACCACUAAACCAUAGUAAGUGACAUUUAUUGUAUUUUUAGUUUGGCUAUAUUACUAUUAGGUACAAUUGUUUUAGGUGUUCAAACAUAAAAUAAAAUUGAAAAGCAUCAGGUUUUACAAAUCACAACUAAUGUCUGAGCCCUAACGAAUCAAUAACGCAAAAAUUAUCGGACUUAAUGAACAAAAACAUAAAAAUUACAAACCGUACCAAAUUGAUCAAACCGAAUUUACCAAACCUAAUGAACUAAAACAUAAAAAUUUCAAAUUGUACCAAAUUGACCGUACCAAAUCUAUCAGACCUAAUGAACUAAAACAUAAAAAUACAUACCGUACCAAAUUGACUGUACCUAAUCUACAUGACCUAAUGAACUAAAACAUAAAAAAUAUUAACAGUAACAAAUUGAUCGUACCGAAUCUAUCAAACCAGUAUUCUAAAAAGCGGACAGAAAAUCGGAAAGCUUGUUGGGCUCUAUUUCUCAUUUGUUUGGCCUGCAACCAUUGAGGGGGCUAAAAAAUAGCCCCCUUUUGGUUGGAGAUGAGUUUUUUUGUCAAAGAGCUAUGUUUUGGCUUAUGGCCUUAUGGCCCAUUCGGUUGGAGAUUGUAUAAAAUAUAGUUUGACACUGUUCAUUAAAAAAUAAUUUCUUACAGGGCUAUAGGGCUAAACAUGACCAUUUGCCCCGUUCGAUUAGAGAUGGCGUAACGAUCCUGAGUUAGCCGUCGCACCACAUCCACAUAGCUGUGCCGGUAGAUUAUCAACCAGUUUAUGCAAGUUGGUAUACAAUUCUGCUUUUGUCCCUACGGCCUCACGACUACUAUAUGCACUUCCAGAAGUUCAAUUUAGGAAUGACUUGACCUGCAAUUCAACAUUGGCUGCAAUGCGUCGACUUUUGAUUGGCCGUCAUUUGGCUUUCACAUCUCCAAAAUAUUCAAUUGUAACAAAUAUUAUCCAAAUACACAGUCCUACUAUAUAUUAUCUUCUUCAGAUGCCCUUAUGUCCGCAGCCCGUGACUAUGCCAGUUGUGGAUGUAUAUAAAGUAUACUAAUAGACAACAUGAUUAGAGAUACUCCAACAAUACGUCAACAAAAAUUGGAUUAUUGAAAAGUCCAGUAAAUAUAACAACGCAAAACACAAAGUGUUAAGUUGGGAGAGAAUAUUACCUCUAAAAUACUAAUUACUUUUCGGUCUAGUGGUAUUCUUUAAUAUAAAAAUAUAUCUUGGUUUUAAGAAAAAUGAUGCGUGAUCUCUAAAGCACUAAUCGGUAAGCACAAGAAAAGAUUGAGGUUAGUCCACCUCGUGGAGUAAUUUUCCAUUUCUUAUUCAAUUUCCAGAUGGUCCUUUUCCUUGAUUACACUACAAAAUUUCCUUGUACAAAAGUAAUGGUUCCCACGUCCACGAUGAAUAAAACCCAUUAAACAAUUAAGAGCUUGCGUAAACCUUUUGAUCCACUUUCUGCCUCAGCCGAUAACUACCAAUACAUCCUCCUCACUUCUUCACAACUCAAAAUCUCCCAAUACAUCCUUUCUUUCUUUCUUAGUCUUCCUCUUCAUCGAUUAUUUUCCCACUUCACAAACACAUCUCAGAAUCAUAGGUGUUUUCACAUACGAUUCCGAGUUCACCUCCGUCAUCCCCCCCCCCCAUUAGGUUGUACAAUGCCUUUGUUCUUGAUGCUGACAGCCUCAUCCCCAAGAUUGCACCAUAGGCAGUGAAGAGCACUGAAAUCCUUGAAGGAGAUGGCGGAGUUGGAACCAUUAAGAAGAUCAACUUCGGCGAAGGUAGCACAUACAGCUAUGUCAAGCACAGAAUCGAUGGAGUUGACAAGGACAACGUUGUGUACAAAUACAGUGUGAUUGAGGGAGAUGCUAUCUCCGAAACAAUUGAGAAAAUUUGCUACGAGACUAAGUUGGUGGCUUCCGGCAAUGGUUGUGUCAUCAAGAGUACCAGCCACUACCACACUAAGGGAGAUGUUGAGAUCAAGGAGGAGCAUGUUAAGGUUGGCAAAGAGAAGGCCUCCCACCUCUUCAAGCUGAUUGAGAACUACCUCUUGGAGCACCAGGAUGCCUACAACUAAACAUUAUCUGCUGCUACAUUCAUGUGUUAUUUAGUCUCGUGUCAUCUUUGCCAUCAAAUAUUGUUGUGGUUUUAAUCCGUUUUAUAUAUCUUUUUCCCUUCCAAAACAGAGUUUGGCUUGUACGUAAUUGAAGGUUUUGAUUGAAGAUUGAAUAGCGGAUCUGAUUAUUCAUGCAUGUUGUUGUUGUUCUUGUUUUUUUUUUUUUUUUUUUUUUUUUAAUGCAAAAUUGUAGUUACUAAUGUUAAGUUCCAUUUUCCUAACUGCUUUAGUUUACUUAACACAUGAGAAGCGACAUUUCAAUUACCAGCAAAUCAUAAUAAUUGAAUAACAUUUGAAUCUCUACCACAUAAUAGCAUAAAGUGAUGAAAUGAAAACUCUGAUUUCGUUUUCCUUGUAAACCAUUUGGUAAUUCAUACCAUAAAUACGCCCAUGAGUUAAACAUACCCAUGAUGAUGAUUUAAGAGCUUGCCUCAUCUGUCAUGACUCAUCUUCAUCCGCGGCUCUUGCUUCUUGCACACGAAUUUUCUUAGCUAAUCUUAUUUUCGAUUUUUAAAUUAAUGUACAUCACGCCAUACAUGUUAGGUCUGCUAUCCUAACGUGUGAUUUUAUUUUUAUAUUUCACCUAUUUCUUUUGGCGUUUCAAAGCUUGUUUUGCAGGUUUAUACCUUUUUGGGGGGUUAGGCCCUAUAUCACUUCCCUCUUUUUCUUGUAUUUCUAGUUUUGUUUUCAAGAAGAAUCAUGUUUAUGUUCCCCCCUCUCGUUUUGCUACUUUUCUGCUUAAAAUGACCCGUGACUUUGUAAAUAAGCAAACUUACCAAACACAAAUUUUACUCGAACGAUUUUUAUCCAUGCUUUUAAAAUAAUUUAAGUAGUACCAAACCUUACCUUAAUUGUUUUUUAUUGACAAAUGAUAUUAUCUACAGUAAGGAGUUAAGAGAUCGAGCUAAGCCUCACAUUGAGCUAGUAAUAAUGUGCUUCAAAUUUAUCUUUGGUGAGAAUCGAACCUAAGAGAUCUCACUUACAAGUGAAGAGAAAUACCACUAGCUAGACAAUCAUACUAAGUGCCAUUUAUUUUAGGGGUUCAAACAUAUAAAAAAAAGAAGAAAAGCAUUAGGUUUUUCAAAUCAUAACUAAUGUCUGAGGCCAAACGAAUCAAUAAUGUAAAAAUAUCGGACCUAAUGAACUAAAACAUAAAAAUUACAUACGCACCAAAUUGACUGUAGCGAAUCUACUGAACCUAAUGAACUAAAACAUGAAAAAUACAAACUAUACCAAAUAUACUAGAUCUAAUGAACUAAAACAUAAAAAAUAUGAACCAUACCAAAUUGAUCGUACCGAAUUUACCAGACCUAAUGAACUAAAACAUAAAACAUAUGAGCCGUACCAAAUUGGUCGUACCGAAUUUAUGGGACCUAAACUAUAUAACGAACCAAAUUGAAGUCACAACAUAAUAGACCCUACAAAACUUCGGACCUAAACUAGUACAACGUACCUAAUUGUUAUUUACAAAAUAUAACCAAACGUACCUGAUCAACCAACAGAACCAAACAAUGAAAUUCCCCACAUAGGCCUUUCAAUAAACCCAUGGUAUGCAUUGUAAGGUAAUGUUGUCUCUGCCAAGACAAUUUUUGGAUGUAAAUUAGUGCAUUCUCCACAUAAUAUCAUUAUGAGAGCUUUCAAAAGUAUGGUAAUGGAACUGGUUAUACAAUAUUUCAAAUUUGCAUAAUUAUAAAAAAAAUGGUACGUUAUAGACAAAAAAGAUGACAUUCUUGUAGAAAAUGAAGAUUGAUGUUACGUUUAUAGGUGAUAUUGAAUCUACAGUUACAUUUUUAAAACUUUGAUGGUGGUGGUUACGUUGCAAACAAUAUAACCCGAAUAUCUAUGAAUUUGAUAUGAUAUUCAAUCAUAAACUAACUAAAAAGAAUUAGGUGAUUGUUCUUUGUAUAAAAGUAAUCGAAUGUUGUUUCAUUUUUUGAGAUUAAAAUCAAAUACAAUAUUACACUUGAAUCAUAACUCCAUAUUGCAAAUAAAUACUGCUUUUGUAUGAGCAAAAGAAAAAACGAAAGCCACACGGCUGAAUAAACAGAAAAAAAAAAAAGGAGAGGACAGAAAAUUUGUUUCCCUACUUUUAGCAUGCAGAAUCAUAUGUAGAUCUAUGGUUUUAGUUAUAGGCAUCAGGGUUGGCCACAAGGUAGUUCUCAAUGAGCUUGAACAAACCAUGGGCCCUUUCUUUCCCAACCUUAACAUGCUCUUCCUUAAUCUCAAUAUCUCCAUUGGUGUGGUAGUGGCUAGUGCUUUUGAUGAUGGAACCGCUGCCGGAAGCCACCAACUUAGUCUCAUAAGAGAUCUUCUCAAUCUUAUCAGAAAUGACAUCUCCUUCAAUCAAACUGUAGUUGUAGACAAAGUUAUCCUUGUCAAUUCCAUCAACCUUGUGCUUCACAUAGCUGUAUUCACUUCCUUCACCAAAACUUAUCUUCUUGAUGGUUCCAACACCUCCAUCUCCCUCAAGAAUUUCAGCAGUUUUAACUGCUUGUGGAGCAAUCUUUGGGAUAAGGUUGUCAGCAUCAAGAACAAGAGCAUUGUACAACCUAGCAGGAGCGCAGACUGAGGCGAAUUCAGUUUCAUAUGUGAAGACACCCAUGGUGAUGAUUGAGAGCUUAGAAACUGAUCAAAGUAAGAAUGAAAUGUGAAGGAAGAAAAGAGAAAUUGAUAAUGAAGGUAUUUGAUGGUGGAAGAUAUGGAGGUGGUAUUUAUAGGUUAUUGGUGAGGGGCUGUUGUGUAAUGUGAACCCCUAUGGAUAGAGAAAAUUGGACAGUAUUUAGUUUCCCAUUGUGAACAUUUUAUUCAACGAAAGGCACCUCUAGAAGUUGAUUUUGUAUAUUCCAACUUAAUACAACUAGCUGGUGUGCUAAUUAAUAAUGUGGAAUUUUUUUAAUAGAAUGUUCUAACACGAGAUGAUCGGAAUAUUACAGCAGAGCUGGUGUGUUAAUUCUGUUGACUACUGACUCAAUAAUAUCUUUUUGGACUAGAAUAAAUCUAAGUUCCCUUUAUGAUUCAUUUCUUAUCUGAAGUUCUGAACUCUUUGAUCAACAUAAGGACUCCGAUGAAACUACAAUGUUGCUCGUUCCCAAGUGUUUUAUUCAAAUAGGGUCGCAUGAUUGGUUUAGAAUGUCGUCACAUUAGUGUUUCUGAAACUUCGACAUAAUAUUAAUUAAGAGCGGACUUAUUUGAAAGAGCCCGAAUAUUAGUAAGCAACCAGUCAAGUUAAUAUUUGUACAUUAUUUAAUCGACUCUAUGGCGCGAAUUUAGUUCCAUUGUACACAUGCAUGCUUAUUUCUUCUCAAGUGAGCCCAUCCUAACCCUACUCUUCUCCAACACACCCCCCAAAGUCUCUCUUUUCCGACGACGCCACCUGAAAUCGUUCUCUUCGACAACAACAUUUGUUCGAAGAUGAACGGUCAUGGGAGAGGAGAGAACGACAUCGAGAUGAGAGUAAUGGGAGUCAGAUGUUUGGUUACGUAGUUAAGGAUGUUUGGUUACAGGACUAGUGUGUAUAUCAAAUUGUUUAAAAUUGGCACAUAUUUGUAUCUUAUUAGGUCACUUAAGAGAGUGAAUAAAUUGAAUAUUUUCCGGUGAGUAUCCAAGUAUUAUCCUAUUAUUAAUUAGUUUUAUAGCAGAACUUCAAGUUCUUUCACCAUUUACAUUUUCAAAAGAUUUACAAGUAGUUUUGCUUUAAAAAAUAGAUGCAAAUUUAAAUUUGAGCCCACCAUCACUUUAUUAUCCCUCUUCCAGAAAAAAAAAAAAAAGAAAAGAGGAAAAACCAAACUUAUCUUUUGAUGUCCCUUUAAAUUUGCUCACUAAACUUUCCGACCAAAAGAAGCUCAAAACUUUAAGAAGGGCAACUUGUUCAAAGUAUUUCUGAAAGGUUCAUACCGAUCAUAAUUUGUGCCAACACUAUUACAGGUUGGAAUCAAGACUUUCAUUAAUAUUUCAUGAACAAUAUUACAAAAAUAUCAAUAUAUCUUUUAAUUUGAUUCCAAUUGUAACGUUUUAUUACUAUUUUUCUAUUAAUCAAAACAAAGCCAAAACAAAACAUUUGAACACAAACCACAAAUAUGAACAAGUUUUAAUUUAUUAAAAUGUUUUAAAAGAGUGACAUUUUAUAACCAAGGGCGAGAAAAACGCCAGAACAUACAAUAGUCCAAAGGGUAAGCUUCGACGGAGGGUCUCUGAAAAACCUUACUUGAAAAAGCCACUUGGGAAAAAUUCCAGUGAAAGAAAAGAGACCGAGCAAGCCAACAAAGACAACAACAGAACAUUUAAGUAGUUAUAGACUCCGAAAUUAAAAUAUCAACAAGCCAAGGAGGGCCUACAUCAGUCCAAAAAUCAAAGCAUUGUUCAUGAAGACCAUGUCACGCAAUCCGGUGCGCAGCCCCAUUCGCAGGUCUGGAAAUUGCCCACAGGACCAAGUAACGAUCCUGAGUUAGCUGUCGCACCACAACCACAUAGCUGUGCCUGUAGAUUAUCAACCAGUUUAUGCAAGUUCGUAAUGUACAGUUCUAUUGUUGUCCCUACUGCCUCACGACUAGUAUAUGCACUUCCAGAGGUUCAAUUUAGGAAUGACUUGACCUGCAAUUCAACAUUGGCUGCAAUGCGUCGACUUUUGAUUGGCAGUCAUUUUUCAUUGGCUUUUCACAUCUCCAAAUUUGGAAUAUUCAAUUGUAACAAAUAUUAUCCAAAUACACAGUCCUACUAUAUUAUCUUCUUCAGAUGCCCUUAUGUCCGCUACCCGUGACUAUGCCCGUUGUGAAUGUACAUAAAGUAUUAAUAGACAAUAUGAUUAGAGAUACUCCAACAAUACGUCAACAAAAGUCGGAUUAUUGAAAAGUCCAGUAAAUAUAACAGCACAGGACACAAAGUGUUAAGUUGGGGGAGAAUAUGAUCUCUAAAACACUAAUUACUUAGUGUUACGGUCUAAUAAUAUUCUUCUUUAAUUGUAAAUAAGAUAACUUAGGUUCGAACGUGUGAAUUACAAAUUUAACACCAAUUUAUUUUCUACACCCCUUAGUGUAAAAAUAUAUCUUUGUUUUAGAAAAUAUGAUGUGUGAUCUCUAAAGCACUAAUUGGUAAGCACAAGAAAAAAUUGAGGUUAGUCCAUCUCGUGGAGUAAUUGGCCAUUUCUUAUUCUAUGUCCAGAUGGUUCUUUCCUUGAUUACGAUACAAAAUUUCCUUGUACAAAAGUAAUGGUUCCCACGUCCACGAUGAAUAAAACCCAUUAAACAAUUAGGAGCUUGCGUAAACCUUUUGAUCCACCUUCUGCCUCAGCCUAUAAAUACCAAUACAUCUUCCUCACUUCUUCACAACUCAAAAUCUCCCAAUACAUCAUCUUUCUUUCUUAGACUUCCUCUUCGUCGAUUAUUUUCCCACUUCACAAACACAUCUCAGAAUCAUGGGUGUUUUCACAUACGAAUCCGAGUUCUCCUCCGUCAUCCCCCCCCCCACUAGGUUGUACAAUGUUUUUGUUCUUGAUGCUGACAACCUCAUCCCCAAGAUUGCACCACAGGCAGUGAAGAGCACUUGAGAUCCUUGAAGGAGAUGACGGCGUUGGAACCAUUAAGAAGAUCAACUUCGGUGAAGGUAGCACAUACAGAUAUGUGAAGCAUAGAAUUGAUGGAGUUGACAAGGACAACCUUGUGUACAAGUACAGUGUAAUUGAGGGAGAUGCUAUAUCCAAAACAAUUGAGAAAAUCUGCUACGAGACUAAGUUGGUGGCUUCCGGCAAUGGUUGCGUCAUCAAGAGCAUCAACCACUACCACACUAAGGGAGAUGUUAUGAUCAAGGAGGAGCAUGUUAAUGCUGGCAAAGAGAAGGCCUCCCACCUCUUCAAGCUGAUUGAAAACUACCUCUUGGAGCACCAGGAUGCCUACAACUAAACAUUGUCUGUUGCUGCAUUCAUGCGUUAUUCAGUCUCGUGUCAUCUUGCCUUCAAAUAUUGGCGUGGUUUUAAUCCGUUUUAUAUAUAUUUUUCCCUUCCAAAACAAUGUUUGGCUUGUACGUAAUUGAAGGUUUAGAUUGAAGAGUGACUGUUGUAUUUUCUUUCAUUUGUAAUAAACUCAAAAUUAAUGGAUCUGAUUAUUCCUGCAAGUUUUUUUUUAAUGAAAAUUUGUAUUUGCUAAUGUUAUGAUCCACUUUCCUAACUCUUUUAGUUUACUGAACACAUGAGAAGCGACAUUUCAAUUACCAGCAAAUCAUAAUAAUUGAAUAACAUUUGAAUCUCUAUUAGGGGUGGGCAAAUGAGUAGAGGAACCACAGAUCGGGGCGAGUACAGGCCGGGCCGGGCCUUUGUUUUUUACGGGGCGGGCCGGUUCCUAAACCUUAGAAAAACGAGCCCCGGACCGACCCGUUUCUAAUUAUAAUCAACAGUCGAAAUUGAAUGAUAACUUAUCAUGCAAUCUAAACCAUUAAUUUCUAACCUAGGGUUCCAGAAUUAGUUUUAGAUUUUCAGUCUCGCUCUCAAAGUCUCAAAAUCCCACCUCUCCACCAUCCCUCGAACCCCUACUCUGACGACAUUCAAGAGAACGCCCAUCACCGCCGCCGCAACCUACUCAACGGCACCACCACCACCCAUCCAGCCAUCAUCCGACCUUGACGACAUUCGUUACUUCGCCGGCUACCGUAAGUCUACUUCUCCGAAUUUUAUUUUUGUUGAUGCGGAGGAUUUGAUGAAUGCAUGAAUAAUAGGAUUUGAUUAGAGCCUAAAUCUUUAGGUGGGAGUAAUUUGGUGAAUGCAUGAACAUUUGGGUGAAGGAAUUGUGGAUCUGUUUGGAUAAUUUCUAUGUAUGGCUUUUCCCUAGAAUUAAGGCAAGAUCUAUGAUGAUUUCUCAAGUCCGAUGAAACUCUUGUUGUUUCUCAUUCUCUCUAUUUUCGGUUUUAUUUGUCGUCCUCGGAACAUUUGGGUGAAAGACUUGAGAAGCUUCAAAUAAUCAAUGUGUUUUAGCGCUAAGUACCAUUUCUGUGUUUCGUAAGACUGGAGGUCAUUAGAUUGUCCCUCCAUGCGCUCUGAUCACUCUUCGCAAGAGAGGGCUUUCCUCUGCUUCAUUGUGAUGGUUGUAUAUAUGUAAAUUAUGCUUAUUCUAGUUUUCAGAUUUGACUAUGUGUGUGUGUUGUGUGUGUAUGACGCUUGCUGUUUUCUUGUGCACAACACUUGUAUUUUCAGGAUGUCUUUGUGUAUUACAUAUUCAGAUUCUGUUUUGUGGUCCUUAAAUGAGGUUUUGCUUUUCACUUUUCAGUCAAUGAGGAAGUUUCAAUAGUGUUGGCCAUUCUGUUAUAAAUAUAAUAAGUAGGUCGGAUCAGAUUUUAGAACCUCAAUAGGCUAAGCUUAAUUUGUAUAUGAAUAUUGCAGAGGGAGAAGGAAGGAUAAGUUGUGGGUUUGGUAUGCCAUGGUCGAUUUAUAUAGAGGUCCUUCUGUGGUUGGAAUUGAACAGGUGUAUUACUUAAUCAUCCAGUAACUAAUUUUGGAUAAUGGAUGUUGUAAAUUGAAGUUGAAACUUUUCAACUUGCUCCAUUUCCCUUUUUGUUUUGUGGAAAUAGAAUGCAAGUUGCUUUCCUUGUCUGCAAACAAGUAGCUCACCAUUACCUGCCUACUUCAAUACCAUUAUCGAAUAAUUCUAGAUAUUUCUGAGUUUUUUAUUUAUUUGUUUCAUUGAAUUUUGGGUACGAUUGUUGGAAAAUAAGUUUUUGAAGAGAGUGUUGGAAAAUAAUUAAAUUAGGACACUGUUUUUUUUUCGUAAGUUAGGAAGUUGGCUUGUUUUUACGUUAGAGCUUUUUUGAUAUUUUAUGUACAUGUGUUUAAGAGGUUGCAGUCUGUUGCAUACUUGCUCCUUGACUGUAUUUAAGCUUGCCUCAAUUGUAUCACUUUUUUUUUCAUGGUCACGAGUGCUCCUUAACAGCUCGGUACAAAGAUAUCAUAUCCCAAGUUGGACACAUAUCCGCUGGUGAUUCGUCACUUAUAACAGCUCGGUACAAAGUUUCACUACCCCUACCUGUAACAUACUUAUAGCUUGUAGUUGUACUUACACCCGUUGCUAUUUAUGAACUUUUGUUUAAUAAUCUGUGCAAGUGUUGCAAUAUUGCUGCAAUCUGUGGUUUACAGUAUGUGUAAAUUGCAAUAAUCUCCUAUAACCAACAUAAUCUGCAGCAGUGAUCUUCCUUUUAUCAAAAGCCAACUUUAUCCGCAAGAAUUGUUAAGGUUGAACAUGUGCAGUUGUGCACCAGAAGAUGGCUGCAAUAUAUUAUAUAUGUCUAAUAGCUUUACAUUUUUGUAGGAUGAAUAUUGGGCUCCUCAAGAUUUCAAGAGGCUAUUAUCGAACGAUGUUUGAAUUUGUGCCGGUGUAAUGGUUGGAAUGUAAUGUUUGAAACUGAAUUCGUGCUGCUGUAAUUGUUUUUUCCCAAACAAAAAAAAAACAACUGGGAACUGUGGACCCGACCCGUUUCAAACGGGCUCGGUUCAGUUCAAUUCCUGUAAUGAAAUAUGAUGUAUUCGGCCCGACCUGGCCCGUUUCGUUUAAACUCCGGUUCCUUCAAAAUUAGGUCCAGCCCGUGCCCAACCCUAAUCUCUACCACAAAAGCAUAAAGUGAUGACAUGAAAACUCUGAUUUCGUUUUCCUUGUAAACCAUUUGGUUCAUACCAUAAAUACGCCCUUGAGUUAACACACCCAUGAUGAUGAUUUAAGAGCUUGUUUUUCCUCACCCUUAUGUGGCAUGACUCACCUCCAUCUGCGGUUCUUGCUUCUUGCAUUCAAAUUUUCUUAGCUUAUUUGAUUUUCGAUUUUUAAAUUAGUGUACAUCAUGCCAUACAGGAUAGGUCCGCUAUCCUAACGUGUGGUUUUAUUUUUAUAUCUAACAUAUUUCUUUUGGUGUUUCAAAGCUUGUUUUGCAAGUUUAUACCUUUUAGAGGGGGUUAGGCUCUAUGUUACUUCCUUCUUUUUCUUGUAUUUCUCGUUUUGCUUUCAAGAAGGGUCAAGUUUAUGUCCCUCUUUUCGUUUUGCUACUUUUCAGCUUAAAAUGAACCAUGACUUUGUAAAUAAACAGACUUACCAAACACAAAUUUGACUCAAAAUUUUUUUAUCUGUGCUUUUAUAAUAAUUUGAGCAGUACCAAACCUCGCCUUAAUUGUUUUUUUUUUCAUGAAUUUAGCGUUUUUUUUAACAAACGAUAUUAUCUACACUAAAGGGGUGAGAGAUCGGGCUAAGCCUCACAAUGGGCUAGCAAUAAUGCGGUUCAAAUUCGUCAUUGACGAGAGUCAAACCUAAGACCUCCCACUUAGAAGUGAAGAGGAAUACCACUGGACCGUAACACUAAGUGACAUUUAUUGUAUUUUUAGUUUGCCUAGAUUACUCUUUGGUACAAUUAUUUUUGGGGUUCAAACAUAAAAGAAAUUGAAAAGCAUUAGGUUUUGCAUAUCAUAACUAAUGUCUGAGACCUAACAAAUCAAUAAUGCAAAAAUUAUCGGACAUAAUGAACUAAAACAUGAAAAUAACAUACCGCACCAAAUUUACCAAACCUAAUGAACUAAAACAUGAAAAAUACAAACUAUACCAAAUUAAUCGUACCAAAUCUACCAAACCUAAUGAACUAAAACAUAUAACAUAUGAACCCGUACCAAAUUGAUCGUACCGAAUUUACCAGACCUAAUGAACUAAACAUAAAACAUAUGAAUCGUACCAAAUUGAUUGUACCGAAUUUAUGGGACUUCAACUAUAUAAUGUACCUAAUUGAAAUCACAACAUAAUAGACCUUACUGAAACUUCGGACCUAAACUAGUAUGUACCUAAUUGUUAUUUACAACACAUAACCAAACGUACCUAAUCAACCAACAGAACCAAACAAUGAAAUUCCCCACAUAGGCCUUUCAGUAAACACAUGUAUGCAUUGGUAAGUAAUCAUGUCUAUGCUGUGCACUCCACACAAUAUCAUUAUGAAAGCUUUCAAAAGUAUGGCAAUGAAACUGGUUAUAAAAUAUUUCAAAUUUGAAUAAUUAUAAUAAAAAAAAAGGUACGUUAUAGACAAAAAAGAUGAUGUUCUUGUAGAAAAUGAAGAUGGAUAUUACGUUUAUGGGUGAUAGUGAAUCUACCGUUACAUUUGUGAACACGAAAAAUUCCUGAAACGAAAGAAACAAGAACACAAAAUAAUAUUUGUAUUUGAUGAUUUUGGGUUACAAUCUCUCUCUAAUUUGAUCCUCUGAUUCGAUCUCUGUAAGGUGUUGAUUUGUGGAUGUGCGAUUGAUCCAAAGGGCCGUUGGGCUUAAUCUAAGGAUGAACGUUCAUCAAGGGCCGUGGGCUUGAUCUUGAAGGUGGAUUUGAGCGGAUCUUCAAGGAGCCGUUGGGGCUUGAUCUUAAGGAUGAGCGUUUCUUCAAGGGCCGUUGAGGCUUGAUCUUGAAUAACAGUAGUGAACGGAUCUUCAAGGGCUUUUGAGCUUGAUCUUGAAGAACAAUGAUUGACGGAUCUUCAAGGGCUUUUGGGCUUGAUCUUGAAUAACGGUGAUGAACGGACCUUCAAGGGCUUUUGGGCUUUGAUCUUGAAGGACGAUUGGAUGUGUGGAUUUGUUGACGUUUGUUGAUCCAAAGAGGCCGUUGAGGCUUGAUCUUAGGAUGAACGGAUGAUGAACGAUGAACAUUUUCUUCAAGGGCCGUCGGGGCUUGAUCUUGAAUUGGUGGAAGUUCUUCAAGGGCCUUUGGGGCUUGAUCUUGAAUUGGUGGAAGUUCUUCAAAGGGCCGUCAGGGCUUGAUUUUGAAGGUGGAUGAUUGUUGAUCCAAGGGCCGUCGGGGCUUAAUCUUGGAAGAACGAAGAGGGCUUUCUUGAUUCUUCGGGAACCUGGAUGCUUGAGAGCUUCGGAGUUUCAGAGCUUCAGAGCUUUAGAGCUUUAAGGUUUUGGUGUAAUAUGAAUUGGUUAUGAAUUCCCCUCCCAAAUGAAUGCAUUGGCUUCCUAUUUAUAGAAUUUUCCAAGGCCUAAUUUUGAAUAUAAUAUGCAGAUGAAAUAAAUCGCUUCUGCCAGGUGUUGACAUGUGUCCUAUUUGAUGACUUUUUUGAUUUAUUUUGAUUUUUCGUUUAGUCACACGCUACGUGUAAAAUUUAUGUGACACGUGAGCGUUGAAAUUGUAACUAUUGGUCAACAUUUAUUUCACCGAAAUUUCGAUGUCUACAAAUGCCCCCACUUCAAGGCGCGUCGUAUACAUGUGUUUAUCACGUGUAGGAGAUACGUUUUGAAGUCCCUUAGUGUAGAUGUUGAUCCAAGGGCUGUUGAGGCUUGAUCUUGAAUUAGAAGAUUUCUUCAAGGGCCAUUGAGGCUUAAUUUUGAAUUGGGCUUGAGAUUUCUUCAAGGGCCGUUGAGGUUUGAUCUUGAAUUGGGCUUGAGAUUUCUUCAAGGGCUGUUGAGGCUUGAUCUUGAAUUUUGUUUGAAAUUUCUUCAAGGGUCGUUGAGGCUUGAUCUUGAAGGUUGAAAUUGGACCACAAGGAGCUUCAUGUGGUAGAUGAUCUUUGGCUUUGGUAGUGGAUGAAUUGGCAGGUAUUUGUUUUUGCGCUUGUUGACUUUCCACAGCUUAUUCUUGAACUGGAUUUGAUUCAAGGGUGGUGGACGCUUGAUCUUGAAUCAGACUUGUGAUUUCCUCAAGGACCGUCGAGGCUUGAUCUUGAAUUUGGCUGGAAGCUUCUUUAAGGGCCAUUGAGGCUUGAUUCUUGAAGGUUGACUCGAACACAUGGCAAGCAGGCACGAGGUGAAGGUGAUGACUUGUUGCUUUGUUCAAUCUUUCUAAUUUACACCUGAGCAGUUUGGUCAACGGUAUGAUCUUCAAUAUUGAUGGGCUCUUCUUCCAGUUGGUGACUUGAUCUUUAAGGAUUUGAUUCAAGGAUGGUGAAUUGGCACGUGCUUUGUUGUGCUUGUCUCCACAUGCUUCAAUGUAUCAUUUUCACUUCCCUUAUCUGUUCCCCAGGCAGAUGUGGUAGACGAAGAGGAAGCAUAAGAUGUUGAAGAUGAGUAUUCGAGAGCACGGCUAGGUAAGCAAUCAGGAAGGGGUUCCAGGCGGAUAUGGCAGCUUCUUGAGUUCCUCAACUCAGACUCUUUCUGCUGAGUUGACUGUGCGGGCUGCAUUCUUCUCUGCUUGUUUCUUCUGCACGUUGUUACCACAUGCUGCAAGGUAUCAUUUUCACUUGCCUUAUCUGUUAUCCAGGCAAAUGUGGCAUCUUCUUUGGAAGUACAUCAGCAGCUGAAGACGAGUACUCGAGAGCAAUACCAGGUAAGCAACCAGGCAAAGGUUCCAGGUAGUCGAUUCCUUACCCGAGUUUGAGUGGAGGUUCUGGCAUAUUGCUUUCUUUAUCCUUGUCUUUGCAGGUAAGAACAAAGACAAAGGAAAUGACAGGGGGAAAGCAUGAUAUGAGAUACUCUUGCUUUCUACCCUGGUGAUAUGAGAUACUUUUGCUUUGGUAUCAUUUGUUUGCAGAGGUAUUCUAGGAGAGGAAGAAAACUGGGUAUUUCGAGAGGCUCUGCUGGGAGUGUACUCUCGGAAAUGAGGAAUGGUUGGGCAUUUUUGCAGGUCUGCCUUGCUAUGGACGGUGAAUGUCGACAUAUAUAGGAAUUUCCCAACAGCCAGUAGUGGCACUAUUCCUUUACUCUUGUCGGCAACCGUUGGGUAAUUGAAACAGUCAGAUUCACGCGUUUUCAACUUUGUCAGAAAUCUUUGACAAAGUUGCGCAUGAUUUCCGCAAAGUUGAGGUUGCAUGUGAAGGAUGGCGACAAAUCCUGAAAAGCCGGUCUUUUUUUUGAAAUUUGGAGAGUGGUGACUUUUCGAUCUUUGAAUCGGUGGCCUUGUUGCCUCUUCGAUCUCUGAACAAACGGCCCAGCUUUUGAAAUUCGGGGAUAAGGGCCUCUUUGGUUUCUGAACGACCACAUUGCCUCUUCGAUUUUUGAACAGGCCAUGUUGCCUCUUCUUUUUAUAGAGGCAUGAAUCGUGUUCAAAAACACAUUUAGAGAGUUGCUACCUGUUAGGAAUUUCCCUCAUUUUGUAUUUUCUAAGAAUUCGACUUACACGACCUCUUCUUCUUUCAUCAUUUUUGCAAAUGGCUUGCCCUUCUGAUCGUCGUCUUGAUUUGAAUGUUGGGGAAAAUGUUGAUAUAUCUUCUCUAGACAACAUAUGGUGCCCGUCCUUCUUAUCUGCCACCGGUCCUCUUACAGUUGGGGACUCUAUGAUGAAGAAUGACAUAACCGCUACGGUGGUAGCUAGAAAUCUUCUCACCCCUAAGGACAAUAGGAUCCUUUCCAAGCGGUUUGAUGAGCUGGCUGUUCAGGACUCUCUGGCUUUCAAUGUUCAGUGUGCGGGCUCUGUAUCAAAUAUGGACCAACGCCUUCUUGCUCGAACUCGUCAAGUCGAGUCACUGAUGGCUGAGUGGCGAGUCUUAAGUAAGAGAUUAGAGGGAUUAAGCAUGAAAACAGAGAGAUGCACAUGCUUGCCAAUAGCUACUCAACGAGCAUGAAAAGAAAGCUCGACCAGCUAUAGGAAUCUGAAGGUCGGAUUCAAAGUGACCAUCGGACGUUUGUGACUUUACUCCAAAGGCAUCUACUGUCUUCGUCCUCUAGAGCUAUACCAAGUGUUAAGGCUGCAAAUAAUCAACUUCUGGUGCCUCCUCCUUCUGGAGCUCCGACGAGUACUGAGGCGCCAUCUGAUCAACCUUUAUGAAGGCUUCCUCCUAUUUGCUUUUUUUUUUUUCAUGUAAAAUGUACAUUUAUGUAAAUUUUGAGAGAAAUCAAUAAAUGAGGCUUCUUUCAUUCAAUGUAUAUAUAUAUUUUUUGGUCGGUGCGCUUGGCAUCAUCAUUAUUUUUCUUCUUUUUGCCAAUUUGCAUGUCUCCUUUUUUUGCUUUCUGCACGCCAUCAUCCCUAAACAAAUGAUGGCUGUCAUUUUCCUUCUUUUUAUUAUUUAUUUAUUUCUUUUGGAUGGUGCCUGAUGCACCAAAAGCUUUAUAACUUUUUUUUUUAUUCUUUUUUUUUUUUUUUUUUUUUGCAUGGUGCUGUCCAUCAAGGUUCCACCAUUUUUUUUUCUUCUUUCCAGAUUGGUUUGUCUCCUUUCUUUUUUAUUCUCUUAUAUAUAUAUAUAUAUUCCCCACAUGGUGCAGGCAAUGGGCAGAAGAUGGAGCAGAGGGAGUAUGCAGAGCACGACACGGACGGAUGCACAAGCAGCAACUGCCGAUGAUCCUAUUGCUCAGGGAAGGUCAUGAGUAUGGUGAUGAAGUUGGAGGCUAGAGAAUGAAGAGCAAGCUGUCCCAAGAUCACCCGGAGAUCACUAGAGCUCCGAUGAGAUCUGAUCUGGGGUCGAGGGAGAUCAUCUUAUUGCUGCCGUUAGCAUUGAUCAACGGUUGGUGCUGCAUCGACAUGUUGCUGCCAUCGGCUGAGCAGGGAAGAAGUAGAGUACCUCUCAAGCUUUCUUCAUGGGUCUCGGUGAAUAAUCUGGCAGAGAGAACUGUGUAUUGCAGUCACGGGAGAAUGAUGCAGAGGAGAACGAGGACGAGUCUGAUGAUGCAGCAGAAGCCAUGGAGUAGGAGUGUUCUGUAUUUGGAGGAGUUGAUAGAGGCAAGGAUUCUCAACAGCCUACAUGAAGCAAAAGCUUUGCCUUCGCUCCGGAAUCGCAACCUUGGAGUACCAUCCUUCAUAUAAUUUAUGGCUCGUUCCAUCGAAAUGGUACCCGCUAUGAAGAGUUCAAAUGUCUCGUUUCCGAGGGGUGAGGACGUAGACGGAGCUCGCGGUCGCUUUGUCCUGUUGAGUUGUGGAGCGGUUGUGGCGACGUUGUCGCUGUUACGAUGGCUACCCUUUGCUUGCUGCUGUGGAGAAAGUCUGAGCGUUGCAUGCUGCAAGGGAUGAGUCUUGGUGUUAGAGCUUGACGUGCUGGAGCUUGACGUCCCAGAUAAGCGUGGUUGAUUCGAGCAUCAAGCCCAACUCGACGAUCAAUGACGGGGAGCUAAAAACGAAGAUGAAGCAGCAGCUUGUUCCUCCAUUUGACCAUGAGGGUGACGUGUGAACGGGCUGAAGCAUGAGACCUCUAAUGCUAGGCCCACUUCGACCGAGUCAUCCAUCCUUCCCUUUGGUACGGUGAAGGUGGAGAUGCUGGCGUUAGGUAGAAGGAGAGAUAGAUAGAGCUUGGGUCGCAGGGAGAAAAUUUGAAGCUCUGAGGUAUUGAAGAUGAUGACAGGGCCUGUGGCUUGAGGUGUAUGCGAACCAAGAGAGAAUUGGACUUGGGCUUUUGGGAGUUUGUAAGCUGAAGAGGAAGUGAGCUGUUGGGGAUGAAAAUGGUACUGUGCUCCAGAUGUGGGGUCCAAGAGAGGAAUGAGAGGUCUUGACAACUCGACGUGCACUCUAUGGCCCAUUUCAGUGCCUCAGCUGCUAUGGUUCGAAUGGGCUUCAUGCUGGGCCUGAUUCUCGGGUUAGGCGUUGAAGAAGAUUUUAAAUAAGGAUGGGAAAGGAGCAGAAGCAAGAUUGAUUCUUUUGGACCUCACAGAGACAGCAUCGUAGAGGCUAUGCCUUCUUCACGUGAAGCUCAAGCAGCAAUGCAAAUGAUAGCAACUGCUACAUAUAUAUAUAUAUAUAUAUAUAUAUAUAUAUAUAUAUAUAUUUUAAGAAACUGUAUUUUUUUUACAAAGAAAUUGUAAUAAAAUUGACUUUCAUCAAUCAAACCUUUAAUCAAACAUUUUUUUUUUAUUUUGAUGUGAUUGAACUCGAAAUUGAAUGCUCGAGCUACCUACGUCCCUUCCAAAAAAAGAGAUCAAGUCAAAACGUAGUUCAAAUGCUUUUUUUUUUUGGUGCCGUACGCAGUUUAUGCUCUUGCCGGCCAAGAGCGUUUGGUGCCAUUUGCAGUUUCCGCUCAUGCCGGCAAGGAGCUUUUGGUGUUGCCUUUUAUGCUCUUACAGACCAGGAGCUUAGUGCCAUGCAGUUUAGGCUCGUACGAGCGAUGAGCCUUGUUAGUUCGUUAAGCAAUCCGGGAGAGUCGUUCCUCGCAAUCUUCAUAGCAAUGAGCCUUGACUGAGUAGUUGAAGAAGUCUUCUGGGAAGAUGUCAUGCAUCGUGAUGGGGAUGGAUGAUCUUCAUGUCAAAGUUUCAUUAUCUCCAACACUUUCACAUUGUUCUGAAGUUUGACAAGAGCUGUUUUGCCCUCUUUCCCAUUGGUGAACUUGUGGAAGAGAUGGUUGCUUCCUGGAGAGGCGUUCAUCGCAAUCUUUAUAGCAAGGAGCCUUGACCGAGUAGCUGAAUAAUUUUCUGAGGAAAAAGUGAUCGCGCAUGGUCAAUCUUUGUGUCGAAAUUUCCUCAUCUUCAACACUUUCACAUCGCUUUGAAGAUUGGCAAAAGCUGCUUUGCCCCCUUUUCGAUUGGUGCACUUAUGGAGAAGACAUAUGCUUCGUGUGCAGUUUCUUCGGAAUGACAUGAGUCUAUCCUUCAACUUCACUCGGUUUGACUGGCAUGGUUUUGGAGCAUGCUCCCAGCGAUUGAGAUGAAGAUUUUAAGUUGACAGAGCCAGAAGUGACGUCUUCUUCCAGGAUUUCGUCUUCUUUGUCUUCUUGGGCCUCCUAUGUAGUGAUGUCAUUUUGGGUUUGUUAGUAUGAAGAUUGGCCGGUGUAGAUAAUGGUGCGCCUCCUUACCUUCAGUGGUUCUUUUAUGUCGACUUCCAAAGUUGCUUGGCGCUUCAUCCUUGAAGGAAUCAAGCUUUGAACAUCGUCUUUUCCUGCUAGGUUGUCGAGCUUUUCUCCCUUUGGCGUUGUCUUUCUGUUUCUAGAAGGCUUCUUAGUUUCUUCAAGUCUGUCCAAAGCCGACCGUUGCGGAGGAGAUCUAGCUGUGCCGCUUUGUUUUUUGGGUUUUGAUAACUUUUCAAAGACAGAUCUUUACGGUGUUGGCGUCUUAAGCCUUUUGAAGACGGAAGUUCGGCCUCGACCACUGAUGCGAUCAAGUGCCGAAAUUCUAGGUUUUGAAUGAUUCAGCCUUUCGAAGACUGAAGUUCGAAUGGCAGGUUUAGGCUCCACUUUUGGCCUUGUGGCUUGUGGUCUUGGCUUCCUUAUUUUUCUGUAGGUCGUCGAUGUCCACCCUUUCUUAUCACCAGUAGAUGCAUCUUGGUUGCUUACCCCUAGUGAUGGUUGUGUAGGAGGUGCCGUGUGACUUGAACAUUAACGGGAAUGGUCAUGCAUGCUUCGGAGAUGCACAGGAUCGAGUGAUCCAAACACGAUAGUAGUAGUGUGUGCCGCAACCGUGUCUUCGAGGUCAAGCUCGAUUUUCCCUUGUUGUGCUAGCUUCAGGAUGAGAUCUUUCAGUACAAAACACUUUUCCGUUGGAUGACUGAUGAAACGAUGGAAUUUACAGUACCUUGGACUAUCGGUAUGAUUCAUCUCUUCUGGCCGUCUACACUCAAGCAAACUGAUCACCUUCUUUUCCAACAAGUCUUCUAACAUGGCAGCCACAUCAGAGUCGGGGAAUGGAUAAGUUUUCUCUUCAAGCUCCUUCAAAGUGCGUCUACGCAUCUCUUGAUCACGAAAAGCUUCGGUUUGAAUCGCCUUGCCUCAUGUAGAGACUUUGAUGGGAGUUGUGUUGACCGUCAUGGCAUCUUCAGGGCAUUAAUCUUAUUGAAGUAGGGCUUCGAGUAGAACAAUGAUGUAUGUGAGCUCCCUUUGUACUGUGCUUUGAUGGUGUUGGUGAUCAUCUCUUGCAGCUGCUGGAUAGAAAGAGAUCCCAUGAGUGCCGCUGCUUGGUCUGGCUCCGGCUUCACAUCGAUCUCCUCCACCGGAGGCUCCUCUUCUUCGCCAGCUCCUCUCUUUAGUGGAUCAUCCUCUGGGUCGAGGUUCUCGCUGUUCUGUGGCUCCAGUCGGUUGACGAGUGCAGCGAUUUGCAAGUCUUUUUCUUCCACAAUCCGUGUUAGCCUUGCGAUCGCUUCAUUCAUUUGAGCCAGUUGUUCUUCAAUUGAGGUAACGCUGAUGGUCAUGACUUAUACAACCAAUAGACAUGACUUUCCUUUAAACAUCCAGAAUGCUAACGAAGAGCGUCGUUGGCUACUUUGGGAUGUCAUCUUGUGUGCCUCAGCAGCAUGCUUCCAUGCCCCUAGCGAGGUCAGGUUGAUGACAAACUCGCGCCUUUGAUGCUCCCCUUGCUCCUUUAGCAGCACCAACUUUGAAGUGGCAUGUUAAGGAGCGGUUGUGGCGCCAAUGGAUUGUCCGUUCGCGGCAGAAGUGCUCAAGAUCCUUCCCUUAGUGGUUGCGAGAACAGCUUGUCCCUUACUUGAUGCCAUUGACUUUGAGGCGUGUUUGGAUUCCUUGAACGAAGAAAGAGAUAAGAGGUAGAUAUGGUCCCACUGGGCGUGCCAAAUUUGUGAACACGAAAAAUUCCUGAAACGAAAGAAACAAGAACACGUGCACAAAAUAAUAUUUGUAUUUGAUGAUUUUGGGUUACAAUCUCUCUCUAAUUUGAUCCUCUGAUUCGAUCUCCGUAAGGUGUUCAUUUGUGGAUGUGCGAUUGAUCCAAAUGGCCGUUGGGCUUGAUCUAAGGAUGAACGUUCUUCAAUGGCCGUUGGCUUGAUCUUGAAGGUGGAUUUGUGCGGAUCUUCAAGGAGCCAUUGGGGCUUGAUCUUAAGGAUGAGCGUUUCUUCAAGGGCCGUUGAGGCUUGAUCUUGAAUAACGGUGAUGAACGGAUCUUCAAGGGCUUUUGGGCUUGAUCUUGAAGAACAAUGAUUGACGGAUCUUCAAGGGCUUUUGGGCUUGAUCUUGAAUAACGGUGAUGAACGGACCUUCAAAGGCUUUUGGGCUUUGAUCUUGAAGGACGGUUGGAUGUGUGGAUUUGUCGACGUUUGUUGAUCCAAAGGGGCCGUUGGGGCUUGAUCUUAGGAUGAACGGAUGAUGAACGAUGAACACUUUCUUCAAGGGCCGUCGGGGCUUGAUCUUGAAUUGGUGGAAGUUCUUCAAGGGCCUUUGGGGCUUGAUCUUGAAUUGGUGGAAGUUCUUCAAAGGGCCGUCGGGGCUUAAUUUUGAAGGUAGAUGAUUGUUGAUCCAAGGGCCGUCAGGGCUUGAUCUUGGAAGAACGAAUAGGGCUUUCUUGAUUCUUCGAGAACCUGGAUGCUUGAGAGCUUCGGAGUUUCAGAGCUUCAGAGCUUCAGAGCUUCAGAGCUUCAAGGUUUUGGUGUAAUAUGAAUUGGUUAUGAAUUCCCCUCCCAAAUGAAUGCAUUGGCUUCCUAUUUAUAGAAUUUUCCAAGGCCUAAUUUUGAAUAUAAUAUGCAGAUGAAAUAAAUCAUUUCUGCCAGGUGUUGACAUGUGUCCUAUUUGAUGACUUUUUUGAUUUAUUUUGAUUUUUUAUUUAGUCACACGCUACGUGUAAAAUUUAUGUGACACGUGAGCGUUGAAAUUGUAACUAUUGGUCAACAUUUAUUUCACCGAAAUUUCGAUGUCUACAACAUUUUUAAAAACUUUGAUGGUGGAGGUUACAUUGCAAACAAUGAAUAUGGCAUUCUUAGCAGUAAAAUCUGUGGUUUUGUUAUAAGUAACAUGUUAUGUUGCAUUAAAAUAAAACCCAUAUUUUCCAUCCAUAGUGUAAAUAUUAGUAAUAUCAUCUCAUUAAAGCCUUUAUCUCUAAAAGCCUUAUUUUACAUAUUGUAUAUUGCAUAUACUGUUCAAUAUAUAUAUAUAUAGCAUGUUCAUGCACACACAAUUGAUAUGUCCAAAUUUCGAAUAUGCAAGUUAUGUUAUAAUAUGCUACAUUGUUAUGUUGAAUUGUGUGAGUCAAAGGAAAACAAACAAAAAAAAUAGAAACACGAACUAGGGUUUUAAAACCCUAAAUCGAAGAAAAUAAUGAGAAAAUUGUGGGAAGGGUUCCUCAACUUUAAUUCAAUUGGAGUAAUGGUUCUUCAACUAAAAUCCAUAACCAUUGGUCCCUUAACUCAUCAAAAAAUACAGCUAUGAUCAUUUUCAUCAACUCCAUCAAAAUUCCGUUAAAAUGAGUUAUAAGGACUAUGCUAUAAUUAGAUUGAAGUUGAGGGAUCACUGUUCCAAUUAGGUUAAAGUAUGUAUCAUUUCUCCAAUUAAGUUGAAGUUAAGGGACUAUUGCUACAAUUUUUCUCAUUUGGUUUUACAUAUUUGUCUCUUGAUUCAGCCUUACAUGCAUAUCACUUGACUCAUUUUUCACAGAACUUCUAACGAAGAUGAAAAUGACCAUAGUUGUAUGUUUUGAUAAGUUAAGGGACUAGUGGUCAUGAAUUUUUAGUUGAUGAAUCACUACUGCAAUUAUAUUAAAGAUGAAAGACUAUUGUUAUAAUUUCCUCAAAAAACAUUAAAAAAAAGAGAAAAUCGCAGCUGAGCCGUGGCUUGAAUAUGCACCAUCCGUGCCACAACGUCGAGCCGAGCCUGCACUCUAGCCUAUGCUCCAAAACGGCACCCUGCAGCCCCAUGGGCUUGCUAAACUCACUGAACCUAAAUCCAGUUUUUUUGGGCUUCUUCUCCCUGCCAGGCCUGCUGCUGACACCUCGCUCGGGUCAACCCAGCUAUGCUGGGCUUCAGCUCCUGCUGGGCUGCCUUCUUCUCGGCUCAAGGCCCGCGCAGGGCCCCCUUUUUUAACUGCAAAGCCAGCAGCAUGGGUGUUCCAUUUCUCCGGCCAGGCCAAAUUUUUGGCCUGUUCUGCUUCCAGCCUGGAACCGACUAAGUUGGGGUGCCCACGGCUAAGCUCAUUUUUGAGCUCUAUUUCUCACUAAUUUGGCCCGCAAUCAUUCAAACCCAAUAUAACCCGAACAUCUAUGAAUUUGAUAUGAUAUUCAAUCAUAAACUAAGUAAAAAGAAUUUGAUAUGAUAUUCAAUCAUAAACUAAGUAAACUUAUCAUAAACUAAGUAUAAAAGUAAUCGAAUGCUGUUUCAUUUAUUAAGAUUAAAAUCAAAUACAAUAUUACACUUGAAUCAUAACUCCAAAUUGCGAAUAAAAAUUGCUUCUAUAUGAGCAAAAGAAAAAAUCAAAAGCCACACCACUGAAUAAAUAGAAAAAAAAGGAGAGGACACAACAUUUGUUUCCCCACUGCUUAGCAUGCAGAAUCAUAUAUAGAUCGAUGGUUUUAGUUAUAGGCAUCAGGGUUGGCCACAAGGUAGUUCUCAAUGAGCUUGAACAAACCAUGGGCCCUUUCUUUCCCAGCCUUAACAUGCUCUUCUUUGAUCUCAACAUCUCCCUUAGUGUGGUAAUGGCUGGUGCUCUUGAUGACAGAACCGCUGCCGGAAGCCACCAACUUAGUCUCAUAAGAGAUCUUCUCAAUCUUGUCAGAAAUGACAUCUCCUUCAAUCAAACUGUACUUGUAGACAAAGUUAUCUUUGUCAAUUCCAUCAACCUUGUGCUUCACAUAGCUGUAUUCACUUCCUUCACCAAAGCUAAUCUUCUUGAUGGUUCCAACACCUCCAUCUCCCUCAAGAAUUUCAGCAGUUUUAACUGCUUGUGGA
rnacentral:lncRNA from 1 species